rnacentral:ribozyme from 13 species
UCAAGACAAAAGAGAGAAAGAAGAACUUUGGCAGUGUCUCGAACGAGUUGUUUUUCCCUUUGUUUGACUUCUUUUUCCUCUUCCUUGGCCAAGUCGUGGAAUGUUGAGACAAGAUCAUUCAAGGU